rnacentral:rRNA from 1 species
GUGCACGCUGGCGGUAGGCCUAACACAUGCAAGUCGAACGGCAGCACAGUAAGAGCUUGCUCUUACGGGUGGCGAGUGGCGGACGGGUGAGGAAUACAUCGGAAUCUACUUUUUCGUGGGGGAUAACGUAGGGAAACUUACGCUAAUACCGCAUACGACCUACGGGUGAAAGCAGGGGAUCUUCGGACCUUGCGCGAUUGAAUGAGCCGAUGUCGGAUUAGCUAGUUGGCGGGGUAAAGGCCCACCAAGGCGACGAUCCGUAGCUGGUCUGAGAGGAUGAUCAGCCACACGGGAACUGAGAAACGGCCCAGACCCCUACGGGAGGCAGCAGUGGGGAAUAUUGGACAAGGGGCGCAAGCCUGAUCCAGCCAUACCGCGUGGGUGAAGAAGGCCUUCGGGUUGUAAAGCCCUUUUGUUGGGAAAGAAAAGCAGCAGGUUAAUACCCCGCUGUUCUGACGGUACCCAAAGAAUAAGCACCGGCUAACUUCGUG